UACGUAGGGUGCGAGCGUUAAUCGGAAUUACUGGGCGUAAAGCGUGCGCAGGCGGUUUUGUAAGCCAGAUGUGAAAUCCCCGGGCUUAACCUGGGAAUGGCAUUUGGGACUGCAAGGCUGGAGUACGGCAGAGGAGACUGGAAUUCCUGGUGUAGCAGUGAAAUGCGUAGAGAUCAGGAGGAAUACCGAUGGCGAAGGCAGGUCUCUGGGCUGAUACUGACGCUCAUGCACGAAAGCGUGGGGAGCAAA
rnacentral:rRNA from 1 species